UGAUACGGAUAUUUCUCACACUUACAUAGAUUUAUAGUUCAACUAUGUCACGUUCUGGAACCUGCCUUACGUUUUUCGUGAAUGGAAAGAAGAUUUGUGAAACAAGUCCAGAUCCAAAGUGUACACUUCUGCAGUAUCUCCGGCGAACACUUUUUUUACCAGGCACAAAAGAAGGAUGUGGUCAUGGAGGAUGUGGAUCAUGCACUGUGAUGGUGUCCAGAUAUGAUUUUACUAGCAAGCGUAUUAA